rnacentral:rRNA from 1 species
UACGUAGGGUGCGAGCGUUGUCCGGAAUUAUUGGGCGUAAAGAGCUCGUAGGCGGUGUGUCACGUCGGCCGUGAAAACCUGCAGCUUAACUGUGGGCGUGCGGUCGAUACGGGCAUCACUGGAGUUCGGCAGGGGAGACUGGAAUUCCUGGUGUAGCGGUGAAAUGCGCAGAUAUCAGGAGGAACACCGAUGGCGAAGGCAGCCCCCUGGGCUGAGAUUGACGCUCAGGCACGAAAGCGUGGGGAGUAAACAGG